GGCUGAUCUGAGUGUAGUGGUGUUUAGAACUAAUUGAUCACAACCGGUUACAGAUUUCUUUGUUCCUUCUCCACUCCCACUGCUUCACUUGACUAGCCUCAA
ensembl:misc_RNA Y_RNA Y RNA